rnacentral:tRNA from 1 species
GUUGCUAUAGCUCAGCGGUAAAGUGCAUGCUUAUAGCACGCACGAGGUCCUGGGUUCAAUUCCCAGUACCUCCA